rnacentral:rRNA from 1 species
GAUGAACGCUGGCGGCGUGUCUAAUACAUGCAAGUCGAGCGAACGGACGAGAAGCUUGCUUCUCUGAUGUUAGCGGCGGACGGGUGAGUAACACGUGGAUAACCUACCUAUAAGACUGGGAUAACUUCGGGAAACCGGAGCUAAUACCGGAUAAUAUGUUGAACCGCAUGGUUCAACAGUGAAAGACGGUCUUGCUGUCACUUAUAGAUGGAUCCGCGCUGCAUUAGCUAGUUGGUAAGGUAACGGCUUACCAAGGCAACGAUGCGUAGCCGACCUGAGAGGGUGAUCGGCCACACUGGAACUGAGACACGGUCCAGACUCCUACGGGAGGCAGCAGUAGGGAAUCUUCCGCAAUGGGCGAAAGCCUGACGGAGCAACGCCGCGUGAGUGAUGAAGGUCUUCGGAUCGUAAAACUCUGUUAUUAGGGAAGAACAUAUGUGUAAGUAACUGUGCACAUCUUGACGGUACCUAAUCAGAAAGCCACGGCUAACUACGUG